AUUUCCGCCGCCGACCCUCAACCGAGGGUGUCGGACGUCGCGACCCGUUCGCCCAGGUCGAUACUCAGGGACGCGUUUCAAGUUCGCCGGCGCGGUCGUCUCGGCGGCCGCGUCACGAUGGCGCGUUUCCGCUGUUCUCGACGCGGACGGUAGCUUUGCGCGCGGGUAAUCGACGCGGUCCUUUGUCCGGCGUCUCCGUACGUCGGACGGCGCUCGCGUCGACGCCGGUCAGCGACGAAUCUUCGGGCCUCUUUCCGACCCGUCUUGAAACACGGACCAAGGAGUCUAGCGUGCGCGCGAGUCGCGGGGUAUCCGAGUCGUCGUAGUCGUUUCGGCGGCGAACGCGACUCGUCACGAUACGAAACCCGUGUACGUACGUUGUGCGAAGGCGUAAUGAAAGUGAAAGGCGACGCUUCGCGCGUCGCCGGGGGAAGACGGUGUUCCGUGUACCACGUUUCGCGGUCAUACGUGUACCGCGGCCGGACACCCGCAUUCCCAGGGCGUCCCGCUCGUACGUCGGCCGUCGGGUCUCGGCUCGGCGGUCGGCGAACUGGGGCGCACCUACAGCGUGCACGCUGGUACCCGAAAGAUGGUGAACUAUGCCCGGCCAGGAUGAAGU
rnacentral:rRNA from 1 species